rnacentral:rRNA from 1 species
UACGUAGGGUGCAAGCGUUGUCCGGAAUUAUUGGGCGUAAAGGGCUCGUAGGCGGUUUGUCGCGUCGGGAGUGAAAUCCACUGGCUUAACUGGUGGCUUGCUUUCGAUACGGGCAGACUGGAGGUAUGCAGGGGAGAAUGGAAUUCCUGGUGUAGCGGUGAAAUGCGCAGAUAUCAGGAGGAAUCACCGGUGGCGAAGGCGGUUCUCUGGGCAUUACCUGACGCUGAGGAGCGAAAGCGUGGGGAGCGAACAGG